CCCCGGCGCCACAAGUGGCAACCGUAUUUAUUGGGCCUAAAGCGUUCGUAGCUGGUCUGGUAAAUUUCUUGUGAAAUCGUGGUGCUUAACAUUACGACGUGCAGGAAAGACUGUCAGACUUGGGACCGGGAGGGGUCAGGGGUAUGCCCAGGGGAGCGGUAAAAUGUUAUAAUCCUGGGUGGACCACCUGUGGCGAAGGCGCCUGACCAGAACGGAUCCGACAGUGAGGAACGAAAGCUAGGGGAGCAAAACGG
rnacentral:rRNA from 1 species